rnacentral:rRNA from 1 species
CAAGCUAAUCUCUUAAAGCCAGUCUCAGUUCGGAUUGUAGGCUGCAACUCGCCUACAUGAAGUCGGAAUCGCUAGUAAUCGCGGAUCAGCACGCCGCGGUGAAUACGUUCCCGGGCCUUGUACACACCGCCCGUCACACCACGAGAGUUUGUAACACCCGAAGUCGGUGAGGUAACCUUUUAGGAGCCAGCCGCCUAAGGUGGGAUAGAUGAUUGGGGUGAAGUCGUAACAAGGUAGCCGUAUCGGAAGGUGCGGCUGGAUCACCUCCUUUCUAAGGAA